GACGAACGCUGGCGGCGUGCUUAACACAUGCAAGUCGAACGGAAAGGCCCUGCUUUUGUGGGGUGCUCGAGUGGCGAACGGGUGAGUAACACGUGAGUAACCUGCCCUUGACUUUGGGAUAACUUCAGGAAACUGGGGCUAAUACCGGAUAGGAGCUCCUGCUGCAUGGUGGGGGUUGGAAAGUUUCGGCGGUUGGGGAUGGACUCGCGGCUUAUCAGCUUGUUGGUGGGGUAGUGGCUUACCAAGGCUUUGACGGGUAGCCGGCCUGAGAGGGUGACCGGCCACAUUGGGACUGAGAUACGGCCCAGACUCCUACGGGAGGCAGCAGUGGGGAAUAUUGCACAAUGGGCGGAAGCCUGAUGCAGCAACGCCGCGUGCGGGAUGACGGCCUUCGGGUUGUAAACCGCUUUCGCCUGUGACGAAGCGUGAGUGACGGUAAUGGGUAAAGAAGCACCGGCUAACUACGUGCCAGCAGCCGCGGUGAUACGUAGGGUGCGAGCGUUGUCCGGAUUUACUGGGCGUAAAGGGCUCGUAGGUGGUUGAUCGCGUCGGAAGUGUAAUCUUGGGGCUUAACCCUGAGCGUGCUUUCGAUACGGGUUGACUUGAGGAAGGUAGGGGAGAAUGGAAUUCCUGGUGGAGCGGUGGAAUGCGCAGAUAUCAGGAGGAACACCAGUGGCGAAGGCGGUUCUCUGGGCCUUUCCUGACGCUGAGGAGCGAAAGCGUGGGGAGCGAACAGGCUUAGAUACUCUGGUAGUCCACGCUGUAAACGGUGGGUACUAGGUGUGGGGUCCAUUCCACGGGUUCCGUGCCGUAGCUAACGCUUUAAGUACCCCGCCUGGGGAGUACGGCCGCAAGGCUAAAACUCAAAGGAAUUGACGGGGCCCCGCACAAGCGGCGGAGCAUGCGGAUUAAUUCGAUGCAACGCGUAGAACCUUACCUGGGUUUGACAUGGAUCGGGAGUGCUCAGAGAUGGGUGUGCCUCUUUUGGGGUCGGUUCACAGGUGGUGCAUGGCUGUCGUCAGCUCGUGUCGUGAGAUGUUGGGUUAAGUCCCGCAACGAGCGCAACCCUUGUUCACUGUUGCCAGCACGUUAUGGUGGGGACUCAGUGGAGACCGCCGGGGUCAUCUCGGAGGAAGGUGGGGAUGACGUCAAGUCAUCAUGCCCCUUAUGUCCAGGGCUUCACGCAUGCUACAAUGGCUGGUACAGAGAGUGGCGAGCCUGUGAGGGUGAGCGAAUCUCGGAAAGCCGGUCUCAGUUCGGAUUGGGGUCUGCAACUCGACCUCAUGAAGACGGAGUCGCUAGUAAUCGCAGAUCAGCAACGCUGCGGUGAAUACGUUCCCGGGGCU
rnacentral:rRNA from 1 species